GGCUGCACUUUCUCUGAGAUCUCGGCUCUGCGAUUCCUGGGCAGGGAGAAAGGGUACAGGUUCAUUUUUCUGACGACAGCCGUCACAAACAGUGCUCGCCUCAUGGAGGCCAUGAGUGAGGUGAAAGCCUGAUGUUUUCCCGGCCAGUGUCGAAGCCUCCACACCUGCCCCAAGGGGAUCCAGGGUUUGGGCUCCCAGCUGAUAAUACAGUGUCCCCCACCCACUCCGCAAAGCCCUGGGGAGCACAGAACUCGUCUGGGGUUUAGAGAACACAUCCGAGGAGAGAGUUCCCUUCCUGCCUCCGGGAUAUUUCUCUUUUUCGUUUAUGAAGUGCAACCCAUGCUGUCAAGAUACUGGGCAGGAGGAGGAUCUUUUGCUAAAUCCCGUUCGAGUAUCAUUGUGAAUAAAGCUGCUGUUCUCAAGUGUAA